rnacentral:snRNA from 1 species
CGGUCGGCCUCGGCGUAACUGAACUUGCCUCUUGCCUUUUACCAGAGACAACCAUGUUCCGGGCAACUAACGACUGAUUAUAACUCUUUGGAAUUGUACCAGAAACACCUUGUGU